CUACGGGGGGCUGCAGUGGGGAAUAUUGCACAAUGGGCGAAAGCCUGAUGCAGCAACACCGCGUGGAGGAUGACACAUUUCGGUGCGUAAACUCCUUUUAUAUAAGAAGAUAAUGACGGUAUUAUAUGAAUAAGCACCGGCUAACUCCGUGCCAGCAGCCGCGGUAAUACGGGGGGUGCAAGCGUUACUCGGAAUCACUGGGCGUAAAGAGCAUGUAGGCUGGAUGACAAGUUGGAAGUGAAAUCCUAUGGCUUAACCAUAGAACUGCUUCCAAAACUGUCUUCCUAGAGUAUGGGAGAGGUAGAUGGAAUUUCUGGUGUAGGGGUAAAAUCCGUAGAGAUCAGAAGGAAUACCGAUUGCGAAGGCGAUCUACUGGAACAUUACUGACGCUCAGAUGCAAAAGCGUGGGGAGCAAACAGGAUUAGAUACCCGCGUAGUC
rnacentral:rRNA from 1 species